UGCCGGGUCGUCUAACGGCAGGACAGCUGACUCUGGAUCAGCUUGUGGGGGUUCGAAUCCUCCCCCGGCAACCA
rnacentral:tRNA from 1 species